rnacentral:lncRNA from 1 species
CCCUUUUCAGCCUUUGAAUAUGCAGUGGCAGCUGUAGUGACAUUAAGAUGCUGCUCCAGGAGACAGAUGCAACCCAGAGUCCGUAGCCAGCCCUGCAUGCCAUGGUGUUCCUCCAGGGACCCCAAGGUCUCCCACCUUGUUGUGUAAAGUUUUCAAGGAGACACUCCUCAAGCUACAGUGGUGAUGUGGGAGUCCUCCCUGGAAAAACUUUGGCUCCAUGGCUUGGUUGUAGCCAGAGACAGCAGCAGCCAGCCCCUCUCAUUGCAGCAGGAAGAUCCAUUUGCCAUGGGAGAGGAGGGACUGCAGGACGGCUGCCAAGCUCUGUCUGGCCUUCCAGGGUGGCACUAGCUGCCAUUGCCAAACUCUCCCUUGCUGAGCAGACCUGCGGAAAGGCUGCUCCUGAAACUGCCCAUGCCCUCCAGCUCCAACCCAGCCCUGAGCCCUUUGGGGUACAGUUGUGGACCACACACAGAGCACUGCCUCAAGACAUUCCCAAGGACCAAGCCAAAGGAGAAAAGGGAUGUUUCUGCUCAAUUUUCCGCUCUCUGUUCAUUGUGCAGAGGCAGCAUGGUAAGCUUGCUCCAUGAAAUCGCCACCUACACCCUGAACCUUUCUCCUUACUUCCUCUCAGUCCCACAGGCAUUGCUCUCUACCCUUUCCAUUGUGGACCACUUAACAUUUCAUGGACCAAUCCACAGCAAAAAAAGUAACUUGAAUUUCUUAUAAGGUUGAUGCAGUCCCCCAAAUUUACUUCUUCCACUGUGAAUCAACCAUCACUGAAGGCCUUGGAACAAAAAGUGCCCAAGAGAUAUUUUGCAAUCUUCUAUUGGUGCAGGGUAUUUCCCAGAUAAGAUUUCUCCUGAGGAAAAAAAGGUACAAGCCAGGAACAUAAAUUAAUUCACAACAGACAAUUUAUUAAGGCAACAACAAGCCAUUGGAACCCUUUCAUGAGCCUCCAUGACUCGUGUCUAAACAGGCUGAUAAAGUGAUUCAUCCUGCAGGAGAGUUGUCUAAAUAUGCUGCUGCUAUCACACUUCCUGCCCCAGAAGAGCCACUCCAAUGGCCUUUCUCAUCCUAAGAGACACCAGUCAUCCAGACAAGGGGCAAUACAAGUUCCUUCACACUUGCAAGCUUGACAGUAAGCAGACUGACACUACAAUGCAGAUGGAUAAAACCAAAUCAAAAGGAUGCCCUUUACAACUGCUCUAGGUGAUGGCAGGGGGAGGAGAAGGAGGGCAGAGGUAACUGGGCUCACUCCUGUGCUUUUAUUUGAAUGAGCCUUUUGUCUUUACACUUCACAGUUCCCUGUGAAAUCAUUCCACACAAACUUAGGGCAUCAUCCAACAGAUUUUAUUUGGUCAUGGAGACAUUUAAUAAUUAGUAGCAAUACCACAGCUGGGUAUAUCUGUAUCUAUACAGAAUCUAUAGCUAAAACAUGAAUGCUUUUGACAUAUGUAUUAUUUUCAAGAGGUGGAAAGAUGAUACCUAUUUUAUCUCUGUUGUAGAGGAAAAGAGAAAAAGGA